CUCUCUGUAGCUCAGUUGGUUAGAGCACUGCACCGGAAUCGCAGGCUCGAUUCCUGCCAGAGGAC
rnacentral:tRNA from 1 species